rnacentral:rRNA from 1 species
GCGUUACUCGGAAUUACUGGGCGUAAAGCGUGCGUAGGUGGUCGUUUAAGUCUGUUGUGAAAGCCCUGGGCUCAACCUGGGAACUGCAGUGGAAACUGGACGACUAGAGUGUGGUAGAGGGUAGCGGAAUUCCUGGUGUAGCAGUGAAAUGCGUAGAGAUCAGGAGGAACAUCCAUGGCGAAGGCAGCUACCUGGACCAACACUGACACUGAGGCACGAAAGCGUG